UGUUAAGUAAGCAGGUUCAGCAGUUUGC
rnacentral:piRNA from 1 species